rnacentral:rRNA from 1 species
AUUGAACGCUGGCGGCAUGCCUUACACAUGCAAGUCGAACGGUAACAGGUCUUCGGAUGCUGACGAGUGGCGAACGGGUGAGUAAUAUAUCGGAACGUGCCCAGUCGUGGGGGAUAACGCAGCGAAAGCUGUGCUAAUACCGCAUACGAUCUAUGGAUGAAAGCGGGGGAUCGCAAGACCUCGCGCGAUUGGAGCGGCCGAUAUCAGAUUAGGUAGUUGGUGGGGUAAAGGGCCCACCAAGCCAACGAUCUGUAGCUGGUCUGAGAGGACGACCAGCCACACUGGAACUGAGACACGGUCCAGACUCCUACGGGAGGCAGCAGUGGGGAAUUUGGACAAUGGGCGCAAGCCUGAUCCAGCAAUGCCGCGUGCAGGAUGAAGGCCUUCGGGUUGUAAACGUGCUUUUGUACGGAACGAAAAGGCUCUAGGUUAAUACCUGGGGCUCAUGACGGUACCGUAAGAAUAAGCACCGGCUAACUACGUGCC